rnacentral:rRNA from 1 species
CAGUCGCCGCGGUAAGACGGAGGGUGCUAGCGUUGUUCGGAAUCACUGGGCGUAAAGGGCGCGUAGGCGGCCUGUUAAGUCGGAUGUGAAAGCCCGGGGCUCAACCCCGGAACUGCAUCCGAGACUGGCAGGCUUGAGACCGGGAGAGGAGGGUGGAAUAUCCAGUGUAGAGGUGAAAUUCGUAGAUAUUGGAUGGAACACCGGUGGCGAAAGCGGCUCUCUGGCCCGGAUCUGACGCUGAGGCGCGAAAGCGUGGGGAGCAAACAGGAUUAGAGACCCCCGUAGUCCCUGUCCCUUAUAC